rnacentral:rRNA from 1 species
CUACGGGACGCUCCAGUGGGGAAUAUUGGACAAUGGGGGAAACCCUGAUCCAGCAAUGCCGCGUGUGUGAAGAAGGCCUUCGGGUUGUAAAGCACUUUCAGUGGGGAAGAAAGACUUAAGGUUAAUAACCUUGAGAGUUGACAUUACCUACAGAAGAAGCACUGGCUAACUCUGUGCCAGCAGCCGCGGUAAUACAGAGAGUGCAAGCGUUAAUCGGAAUUACUGGGCGUAAAGCGCGCGUAGGUGGGAAUUUAAGUCGGAUGUGAGAGCCCUGGGCUCAACCUAGGAAUUGCACCCGAUACUGGAUACCUAGAGUAUGGUAGAGGAAAGCGGAAUUUCCGGUGUAGCGGUGAAAUGCGUAGAUAUCGGAAAGAACACCAGUGGCGAAAGCGGCUUUCUGGACCAAUACUGACACUGAGGCGCGAAAGCGUGGGGAGCAAACAGGAUUAGAUACCCCCGUAGUC